AUUAGACGAAUCAUCUGGAAAGAUGAAUCAAAGAAGGUAAUAAUCCUGUAGUCGAAAAUGUUGUCUCUCUUGAGUGGAUCCUGAGUACGACGGAGCACGUGAAAUUCCGUCGGAAUCUGGGAGGACCAUCUCCUAAGGCUAAAUACUCUCUAGUGACCGAUAGUGAACCAGUACCGUGAGGGAAAGGUGAAAAGCACCCCGGAAGGGGAGUGAAAUAGAACCUGAAACCGUGUGCUUACAAGUAGUCAGAGCCCGUUAAUGGGUGAUGGCGUGCCUUUUGUAGAAUGAACCGGCGAGUUACGAUUUGAUGCAAGGUUAAGCAGUAAAUGUGGAGCCGUAGCGAAAGCGAGUCUGAAUAGGGCGUUUAGUAUUUGGUCGUAGACCCGAAACCAGGUGAUCUACCCUUGGUCAGGUUGAAGUUCAGGUAACACUGAAUGGAGGACCGAACCGACUUACGUUGAAAAGUGAGCGGAUGAACUGAGGGUAGCGGAGAAAUUCCAAUCGAACCUGGAGAUAGCUGGUUCUCUCCGAAAUAGCUUUAGGGCUAGCCUCAAGUGAUGAUUAUUGGAGGUAGAGCACUGUUUGGACGAGGGGCCCCUCUCGGGUUACCGAAUUCAGACAAACUCCGAAUGCCAAUUAAUUUAACUUGGGAGUCAGAACAUGGGUGAUAAGGUCCGUGUUCGAAAGGGAAACAGCCCAGACCACCAGCUAAGGUCCCAAAAUAUAUGUUAAGUGGAAAAGGAUGUGGCGUUGCCCAGACAACUAGGAUGUUGGCUUAGAAGCAGCCAUCAUUUAAAGAGUGCGUAAUAGCUCACUAGUCGAGUGACACUGCGCCGAAAAUGUACCGGGGCUAAACAUAUUACCGAAGCUGUGGAUUGUCCUUUGGACAAUGGUAGGAGAGCGUUCUAAGGGCGUUGAAGCAUGAUCGUAAGGACAUGUGGAGCGCUUAGAAGUGAGAAUGCCGGUGUGAGUAGCGAAAGACGGGUGAGAAUCCCGUCCACCGAUUGACUAAGGUUUCCAGAGGAAGGCUCGUCCGCUCUGGGUUAGUCGGGUCCUAAGCUGAGGCCGACAGGCGUAGGCGAUGGAUAACAGGUUGAUAUUCCUGUACCACCUAUAAUCGUUUUAAUCGAUGGGGGGACGCAGUAGGAUAGGCGAAGCGUGCGAUUGGAUUGCACGUCUAAGCAGUAAGGCUGAGUAUUAGGCAAAUCCGGUACUCGUUAAGGCUGAGCUGUGAUGGGGAGAAGACAUUGUGUCUUCGAGUCGUUGAUUUCACACUGCCGAGAAAAGCCUCUAGAUAGAAAAUAGGUGCCCGUACCGCAAACCGACACAGGUAGUCAAGAUGAGAAUUCUAAGGUGAGCGAGCGAACUCUCGUUAAGGAACUCGGCAAAAUGACCCCGUAACUUCGGGAGAAGGGGUGCUCUUUAGGGUUAACGCCCAGAAGAGCCGCAGUGAAUAGGCCCAAGCGACUGUUUAUCAAAAACACAGGUCUCUGCUAAACCGUAAGGUGAUGUAUAGGGGCUGACGCCUGCCCGGUGCUGGAAGGUUAAGAGGAGUGGUUAGCUUCUGCGAAGCUACGAAUCGAAGCCCCAGUAAACGGCGGCCGUAACUAUAACGGUCCUAAGGUAGCGAAAUUCCUUGUCGGGUAAGUUCCGACCCGCACGAAAGGCGUAACGAUUUGGGCACUGUCUCAACGAGAGACUCGGUGAAAUCAUAGUACCUGUGAAGAUGCAGGUUACCCGCGACAGGACGGAAAGACCCCGUGGAGCUUUACUGUAGCCUGAUAUUGAAAUUCGGCACAGCUUGUACAGGAUAGGUAGGAGCCUUUGAAACGUGAGCGCUAGCUUACGUGGAGGCGCUGGUGGGAUACUACCCUAGCUGUGUUGGCUUUCUAACCCGCACCACUUAUCGUGGUGGGAGACAGUGUCAGGCGGGCAGUUUGACUGGGGCGGUCGCCUCCUAAAAGGUAACGGAGGCGCUCAAAGGUUCCCUCAGAAUGGUUGGAAAUCAUUCAUAGAGUGUAAAGGCAUAAGGGAGCUUGACUGCGAGACCUACAAGUCGAGCAGGGUCGAAAGACGGACUUAGUGAUC
rnacentral:rRNA from 1 species